UUAAGCGACUAAGCGUACACGGUGGAUGCCCUGGCAGUCAGAGGCGAUGAAGGACGUGCUAAUCUGCGAUAAGCGUCGGUAAGGUGAUAUGAACCGUUAUAACCGGCGAUUUCCGAAUGGGGAAACCCAGUGUGUUUCGACACACUAUCAUUAACUGAAUCCAUAGGUUAAUGAGGCGAACCGGGGGAACUGAAACAUCUAAGUACCCCGAGGAAAAGAAAUCAACCGAGAUUCCCCCAGUAGCGGCGAGCGAACGGGGAGCAGCCCAGAGCCUGAAUCAGUGUGUGUGUUAGUGGAAGCGUCUGGAAARGCGCGCGAUACAGGGUGACAGCCCCGUACACAAAAAUGCACAUGCUGUGAGCUCGAUGAGUAGGGCGGGACACGUGGUAUCCUGUCUGAAUAUGGGGGGACCAUCCUCCAAGGCUAAAUACUCCUGACUGACCGAUAGUGAACCAGUACCGUGAGGGAAAGGCGAAAAGAACCCCGGCGAGGGGAGUGAAAAAGAACCUGAAACCGUGUACGUACAAGCAGUGGGAGCACGCUUCGGCGUGUGACUGCGUACCUUUUGUAUAAUGGGUCAGCGACUUAUAUUCUGUAGCAAGGUUAACCGAAUAGGGGAGCCGAAGGGAAACCGAGUCUUAACUGGGCGUUAAGUUGCAGGGUAUAGACCCGAAACCCGGUGAUCUAGCCAUGGGCAGGUUGAAGGUUGGGUAACACUAACUGGAGGACCGAACCGACUAAUGUUGAAAAAUUAGCGGAUGACUUGUGGCUGGGGGUGAAAGGCCAAUCAAACCGGGAGAUAGCUGGUUCUCCCCGAAAGCUAUUUAGGUAGCGCCUCGUGAAUUCAUCUCCGGGGGUAGAGCACUGUUUCGGCAAGGGGGUCAUCCCGACUUACCAACCCGAUGCAAACUGCGAAUACCGGAGAAUGUUAUCACGGGAGACACACGGCGGGUGCUAACGUCCGUCGUGAAGAGGGAAACAACCCAGACCGCCAGCUAAGGUCCCAAAGUCAUGGUUAAGUGGGAAACGAUGUGGGAAGGCCCAGACAGCCAGGAUGUUGGCUUAGAAGCAGCCAUCAUUUAAAGAAAGCGUAAUAGCUCACUGGUCGAGUCGGCCUGCGCGGAAGAUGUAACGGGGCUAAACCAUGCACCGAAGCUGCGGCAGCGACRCUGUGUGUUGUUGGGUAGGGGAGCGUUCUGUAAGCCUGUGAAGGUGURCUGUGAGGYAUGCUGGAGGUAUCAGAAGUGCGAAUGCUGACAUAAGUAACGAUAAAGCGGGUGAAAAGCCCGCUCGCCGGAAGACCAAGGGUUCCUGUCCAACGUUAAUCGGGGCAGGGUGAGUCGACCCCUAAGGCGAGGCCGAAAGGCGUAGUCGAUGGGAAACAGGUUAAUAUUCCUGUACUUGGUGUUACUGCGAAGGGGGGACGGAGAAGGCUAUGUUGGCCGGGCGACGGUUGUCCCGGUUUAAGCGUGUAGGCUGGUUUUCCAGGCAAAUCCGGAAAAUCAAGGCUGAGGCGUGAUGACGAGGCACUACGGUGCUGAAGCAACAAAUGCCCUGCUUCCAGGAAAAGCCUCUAAGCAUCAGGUAACAUCAAAUCGUACCCCAAACCGACACAGGUGGUCAGGUAGAGAAUACCAAGGCGCUUGAGAGAACUCGGGUGAAGGAACUAGGCAAAAUGGUGCCGUAACUUCGGGAGAAGGCACGCUGAUAUGUAGGUGAAGAUGGGGUYAGCGCAAGCGAAGCUCUUGAUCGAAGCCCCGGUAAACGGCGGCCGUAACUAUAACGGUCCUAAGGUAGCGAAAUUCCUUGUCGGGUAAGUUCCGACCUGCACGAAUGGCGUAAUGAUGGCCAGGCUGUCUCCACCCGAGACUCAGUGAAAUUGAACUCGCUGUGAAGAUGCAGUGUACCCGCGGCAAGACGGAAAGACCCCGUGAACCUUUACUAUAGCUUGACACUGAACAUUGAGCCUUGAUGUGUAGGAUAGGUGGGAGGCUUUGAAGUGUGGACGCCAGUCUGCAUGGAGCCGACCUUGAAAUACCACCCUUUAAUGUUUGAUGUUCUAACGUKGACCCGURAUCCGGGUUGCGGACAGUGUCUGGUGGGUAGUUUGACUGGGGCGGUCUCCUCCUAAAGAGUAACGGAGGAGCACGAAGGUUGGCUAAUCCUGGUCGGACAUCAGGAGGUUAGUGCAAUGGCAUAAGCCAGCUUGACUGCGAGCGUGACGGCGCGAGCAGGUGCGAAAGCAGGUCAUAGUGAUCCGGUGGUUCUGAAUGGAAGGGCCAUCGCUCAACGGAUAAAAGGUACUCCGGGGAUAACAGGCUGAUACCGCCCAAGAGUUCAUAUCGACGGCGGUGUUUGGCACCUCGAUGUCGGCUCAUCACAUCCUGGGGCUGAAGUAGGUCCCAAGGGUAUGGCUGUUCGCCAUUUAAAGUGGUACGCGAGCUGGGUUUAGAACGUCGUGAGACAGUUCGGUCCCUAUCUGCCGUGGGCGCUGGAGAAYUGAGGGGGGCUGCUCCUAGUACGAGAGGACCGGAGUGGACGCAUCACUGGUGUUCGGGUUGUCAUGCCAAUGGCAYUGCCCGGUAGCUAAAUGCGGAAGAGAUAAGUGCUGAAAGCAUCUAAGCACGAAACUUGCCCCGAGAUGAGUUCUCCCUGACUCCUUGAGAGUCCUGAAGGAACGUUGAAGACGACGACGUUGAUAGGCCGGGUGUGUAAGCGCAGCGAUGCGUUGAGCUAACCGGUACUAAUGAACCGUGAGGCUUAACCUU
rnacentral:rRNA from 1 species